UGGAAAGUGGGCGGAGUCCGGAGUGGAGGUAGAAGUUGAGACAGGUCCCAGCCCUUUCGUCGGCGAAAUCCAGGGGAAGGUUUGUUGAGUCAUCCGGAACAGAGACGAAAGUUGAAGAUAAAUUCCUGUAGAUCCACGUCGAUGGUCACGGAGGCUCGGGUGCCAGGCUAGAACCGGAAUCAGUGUCCGAACCGGAAGUGGCAUCAGUCUGGAGAGGCCCAAUGCAGGAUGAGGUUUGCACAUGUGUAAUGGUGGCAGCGUGUGGGGCGUGGAGGUGGUCGGAAACAGGGCACGGAUUGUGAAUGGUGGGUGCGUUAUCCGACUGGAGAAGAGUAGAGUGGCAGAAGGUGGACAGAACAGUUACAACUGAAGUGCAGGACUGCACCAACCAACCACUGCCACACCAGGGACCCAAUAUUCCAGUACAAGUUCGGAAUGGGAGCCAGGAGAGCAUGGCACUGGAAACUUUAAAGAUAAGAACAGAAGGCAAGAGUAAGAGCUGAGGUGGAGAAGUGUGACUGAGGACAGGGCAGGGUUAGAAACCACUGGAAGGCCAGGGGGGCUUCAGGACUGAAUGUAGUGGAAGCAAUGACUUCAGAUCAGGCAGGCCACAGAACAGGAAGCUUGUGGCAAACAAUGUUUAAUUGAAACUCUCAAUUUAAAUGAAUAUAUUGUCACUAUUUAAUUAAUGAUGUCAAUGUGAAACAAUGUUAACUGAAUCAACUUAAAAUGGGGCCCUGCUGUGCUCAGAUGACACGGAAACAAUCAUCUACAAGUGAUACACAAUAUAAUUACCUAUAUGUGGCAUAGAUAAUAAUAUCUUUACAUGCAAGUAAAAUAUACGUUUAAGUGUAGGCAACAGAUACCUACAAUAAUGCUCUGGUGACACAAGAACAAUUUGCUAUUGUUAUUAUUCCUUCUUAAUUUUGUCGUGUUUUGUCUGCUCUCUCUAACGGUAGUCGAUUUGUUUCUCUAUGAUUGCUCUAUUACUACAUCAAUAAAAAUUAUUCAUUGCCA